rnacentral:rRNA from 1 species
GAUGAACGCUGGCGGCGUGCCUAAUACAUGCAAGUCGUACGGAAAGGCCCUUCGGGGUACUCGAGUGGCGGACGGCUGAGUAACGCGUGGGAACGUGCCCCAAAGUGAGGGAUAACGCACCGAAAGGUGUGCUAAUACCGCAUAUGGUCUUCGGAUUAAAGCUUCGGCGCUUUGGGAGCGGCCCGCGUACGAUUAGAUAGUUGGAGAGGUAAUGGCUCACCAAGUCGACGAUCGUUAGCUGGUCUGAGAGGAUGAUCAGCCAGACUGGGACUGAGACACGGCCCAGACUCCUACGGGAGGCAGCAGUAAGGAAUCUUCCACAAUGGGGGCAACCCUGAUGGAGCAACGCCGCGUGCAGGAUGAAGGUUUUCGGAUCGUAAACUGCUUUUAUAAGUGAAGAAUAUGACGGUAACUUAUGAAUAAGGAUCGGCUAGCUACGUGCCAGCCGCCGCAGUAA